rnacentral:rRNA from 1 species
CCUCUCGGGGGUAAGCGGGCAGAACUUGCAAGUAUUGACAAGAGAUUCAGACUUGGAAUUUAGGGCUGAGCCUGCCUGUUAAGUUGUUUAUUCGUAAACUGACUGACUUGUAGGUUUUGAUCUCUAAAUAAUGCGUCGCACUUCUCUUGUCAUCCGGGUUGCAUGCAACUGAGUUGAUAGUUUAGGUGCUGAGGACCUGCAAAUCCUUGUUGGUUUGAGCCUUAGUUUCCAACUAUUCUUGCGGUUGUUGAAAGCGAACAAGCGUUCUACGCGGUCAGUUAUUGGCACGAGUCGUGUGCAGUGUUUGUAUGGACGGGUAACCGUAAUGCUUUCACUGUACUGGUUGUCAGUGACAGUAAUUGGCAUUGUUCAGUAUUGCAAUCKAAAGCAUGCGUGGUCUGCCUGU